UUCAGGAUUCCCUAGUACGGCGAGUGACCGGGAAAAGCUCAAAUUUGAAAUCUGGCUGUCUUCGAUAGUCCGAGUUGUAAUCUAUAGAAGCGUUUUCCGUGCUGAACUGUGUCUAAGUCCCUUGGAACAGGGUAUCAAAGAGGGUGAUAAUCCCGUACUUGACACAACAAUCAGUGCUCUGUGAUACGUUCUCUACGAGUCGAGUUGUUUGGGAAUGCAGCUCAAAAUGGGUGGUAAAUUCCAUCUAAAGCUAAAUAUUGGCGAGAGACCGAUAGCGAACAAGUACCGUGAGGGAAAGAUGAAAAGCACUUUGGAAAGAGAGUUAAACAGUACGUGAAAUUGUUGAAAGGGAAACGAUUGAAGUCAGUCGUGUUCAUUGGAUUCAGCUAGUUCUUCUAGUCUACUUCCUUUGAACGGGUCAACAUCAGUUUUGUCCGGUGGAUAAAGGAUUUAGGAAUGUAACUCCCUCGGGAGUGUUAUAGCCUAGGUUCACAUACACUGGGUGAGACUGAGGACUGCAGCUCGCCUUUUGGCCGGGGUUCGCCCACGUUCGAGCUUAGGAUGUUGACAUAAUGGCUUUAAACGACCCGUCUUGAACACGGAACAA
rnacentral:rRNA from 1 species